UCCAGGGCGAUCCCGCGAAGGCGUUCGAGAGGGGCGGGGCCACAGGGAGGCUAGGCCGGAAGGCCUGGCCACGCGCUCACGUGGUCUGCCUCUGCGCCUGCGCUCUCGGGCAGCUGCGGCGGCCACCUGGAGAGCCGAGCAGGCAGUGCGCCGCGCACCUGGAAAGAUUCUCUCUAGAUCCAAAGAAAAACAAGAGGGUUCUUUUUGCCUUCUACUCCUCAAAACACACCAGGAGCUCAGCAAUCGGAGGGGAGGCUGAAGGACAAAAACAUUGCUAUCUCAUAGAGCAACGGUAUAAGAGCCAAUAGAGACUCUUGGCGCUGGAAGUCACGGAUCCGAAAGAAGGCGCCCAAUCAUUUGGUUUCUUUGGAUCGUUACUGAGUCUUCUGUCAUCAUAGUUCUACCCUCCUACUCGAAUGCCUGCCGUGGGGCCCUUACCCUUGCUCUCCUCUGCCUGGAAUGCCUGCCUCUUCUUGCACUCAAGCCCCUGGGUUCUAUUCAGAUGCUCCAGUUACAAGCGACAGAUCCAAAAUUGUCUUCUGGAAGAAACAUCACAAAACUUCAAAGAGCUAAGAAAGGAUGAAAGCUUACCACUGCUUGGAUACCAGCUUGAUAAGCAGCUUGGAAUGUCAAAUACAUAACAAGAAAGGAAAUAUUCUACUUUAAAGAAACAUGGUAAGUAAAUGAAUAACAUGGACACAACUUAGUGUAAGUUCUUUACCCUAAUAAAUUAAUUAUUCAUUUGCAAAUAUUACCAAAAGUAAAAAAAAUUUAUUUUAUAGAGUGGUUGAUUUUUGUAAUACAUCAAAAACUGUGAUGUUAUACACUUCCCUAUUCUCACUGCUUAUCUCAUAUCAGUGGUUGAAGUUUCUCCCAAAUAAUUUAGUUUACAUUUAAAGUGGCAAUACAGAUUUUACUUAAUGGACUUAAGUUAUAAUUAGAAACCAGUUUUAUAUACAGAAAAUCCAUAAAUAUAGAACUUUUAUUCCUAUUUUAUCCUUAGGCUAUGCAAAAAAUGGACUAAAAAUUUUUCAUUUGGGUCUUUGUAAUAAACAUGUAAAUACAUAUUUACAAUGGAGAUGCUUCCUGAUAGAAAGUAAACAGAAGUAAUUUUGGUCUUCACUAGAAUCCAUCAUAUCUAUUUUUGAAGAUGAUGUAAUACAUCAUGUUUACUCAAAAUUUGAUUCCUUUUAUACACAUAAUUUAAAUAAUUACUCCACUUGUACCAUUAAUGCUUCAUUCUGUAUUUAAAUUUCCUUUAAGAAAGAUUCCUUGAUCCAGUAGUAGGGAACUCUGUUUCUGUACAGUUAAUGUGUAAUUUUUAUCCUUCUGGCAGUAUUACAAAUACUGAGUCAUUUAAUCUUCAUUGUUCAUUCUCCAGGGGUAAUUCUUGAGUUAUCUCACAUGAUGUAAGUACCAUCUUUGCAGUAUUUCAUGGAUUCCAUUUGUUUUGUCAUAGCCAGAACAUCAUGAAAUCCAGUACUUAGGCCAGACAUAUGUUGAAAGUAUGCCUCCU